rnacentral:lncRNA from 1 species
ACAAAAGUAACGUUGUUAGUAGUCAGUAAGUAAGAGUGAAUCUGUGAUGUUCGUUGUUUCAGGUUGUUCUGGAGCCAUGAACGAGGAGAGUGGUCCAGUGUUUACAGGUGGCCCGGUUCUAGCCUUUCAAAAGAGAAAAGAAGAGAGGUUGCCUACGCCUUUGUCGAUGUACAUGAAACUAAGGAGGAAUUCUCAGCCUCAGUCUUGUCGGU